AUGCGGAGGGUGCAAGCGUUAUCCGGAUUCAUUGGGUUUAAAGGGUUCGCAGGCGGCGUAUUAAGUCAGUGGUGAAAUCCCGAGGCUCAACCUCGGAACUGCCAUUGAUACUGGUAUGCUAGAGUGUAGUUGGCGUUGGAGGAAUGUAUCAUGUAGCGGUGAAAUGCUUAGAUAUGAUACAGAACACCGAUCGCGAAGGCAGCUAACGAAACUAUAACUGACGCUCAGGAACGAAAGCGUGGGGAGCGAACAGGAUUAGAAACCCGAGUAGUCC
rnacentral:rRNA from 1 species